rnacentral:lncRNA from 10 species
UUUAAUUAACUUCAUCUGAUGUGAGCCUCUCAAUAAAAAUAUUAAACUAAGAAUAGUGUCACUUUACGAGACUCCCAUCUGUACCUAAGAGUUUUGAACAUUUGAGUUGGUGAAACAUUUCUUUCUAAUCUGAAUUUCCCACAUUAAUUAUUUUGAGGCAUUUUAAUAUCCUUGGGGAUGAUUACAUCCAAUGAAUUAGGUCAAAGUUUCAUAGUCUCUAUUGGCAAUCACUAGUUUAAUUUAUGAUUUUCAGCAAAAAUAUCAGAUGUGUGAAUUUAAUGUAGAUUAAAUCAGCCAUGCAUUUUGUUAUCCUUCAAUGGCGGGUAGAAUAAUGGCCCCCAAAGAUAUCCAUGUCUUAAUUCCUGGAGCCUGUGAAUAUGUUAACUUACAUGGCCGAAAUUUUUUUUUUUUUUUUUUUGGUAGAGACAGGUCUUGCUUGCUUUAUUGCUCAGGCUGGUCUCCUGGGCUCAAGCAAUCCUCUCACCUCCGCCUCUUGAAGUGCUGGGAUUAGAGGCGUGAGCCACUGUGCCUGGCCAAGUAUUACAUUCUUCACAGAAUGUACUACUGAAUCAUUCCUUGGGAAUCAAGAAGAAGAAAUAAAUGCAAGACUAACUUUAUGGGCAGAACUCUCAGAAUGAAGAGAUUCAGAAGGAGGCUGAUAGAGAGGAACCGGUCAUGUGUCUCAUUAUUUAUUGUUUAUUGAUAAGGCAUACCGUCAGAGAAAAACUGAAACAGCACUAACUUCUCAAGGAAAAUAUUCACGUAUCACUGUUCUGUCUGAAUGUUAUAAGUGGUUCUACUAUAUUCUUUCUGUAAAGCUGAACAUAGCUGGAUUAUCCUUAAGAAGGAUGGAUACAUAUUCAAGGAAAACUUUCAUGAAGCACUAAUUGCAUUCAUCACAAUAAUAGAAGCAUUAUUUUUACAAUCAAAUUGUGUGAGAUAUUGAAAAGCUAUAAAAGUGUGGCAUAACAUGACACAGGUAAUAUCUAUUACCAUUUUACAAAUAAGAAAACCAAGGCACAAAGAGGUUAAGCAGCUUGCUCAUAGUUACACAGAUAGCAGAUGACUAUUUCAAAAAGGGAAAUUUAUAGCUUCCCUCAUGUAAGAUGAGGGAAUGUGAGCUUCUGAAUGUGAUGAGCAAACGAAAGAAAAUGAAGGAGGCAAAGUACAAAGAGAGUUGAAUGAAAGGACUGAAUUGAAAGAAAUGCUUUCUCUUUCACAAUUUUCUCUAAUCUUAUUUGGCUGACUGUGGUGCUCAAAAAAAUGACAAUAAACAGGUAAGAGAAUUAUAAUCUUACCCAUUCCCAGCCUCCCUCCUUCACCUCAGUGGGACCUUGUUAUCCUGAUCCGCACAGCAUUAUGCUGAACUCCCAAGAUAAGGGGAACAGAAAAUAACCAGUAACAGGUAUACAUGUUUAAACUAUCAUUAAAAUAGUUCUAUAAAAUAGAAAGCCAGCAGACUGCUCCCAAACUCCUGGGCUCAAGGGAUCCUCCGAAUCUGCCAAAGUGCAGGGGUUACAGGCAUGAGCCACUGCACCCAGCCCAAUUUACAAGUCUUUAACUUAAACAUUAGAAAUGGAAAAGCCUAGGCACUUUGGACUUAAUUUACACGGAGGGAAUUUUAAACGCAAAGAAUCUUCGGUGUUCUAUAAAAAAUUCACACAUUCAGAGAAGGUAUCUUACCUAAUUUUUAAAGGAAGAAAGGAAAAAGUAUGAGUAAAACAUUAUUUUAGUGGAGAAUGUUGUGCUCCUAUGAGGCCCAAGAUUCAUAACCAACCAUGAUGCCAAAGGGGAGAUUUUUUUAGAGGAAUGAAAAAAUUAUUCCAAUGUUACUUGAUCAACACUAGACUCCACUAGGAGGCACUCUGAACUUACGUGCUACUGUGUCAUGACAACAAAUAUAAACAUUCAUUUCAUGAGAGAAAUAACUGGGUAAUUAUAUAUGCCACCAGCUAAGAUCAUACUCAAUGAAAAUACCUCUUAUUUGAGUUUUUUUUCUUUCCUGCCCUUGCAACCCCACACAGAAAUACACCCUGACAUACAAUUUUCCUGCCAAGUUUCCAUCUUCAAAGUGUAAAAGUGGUACUGCCAACUGGGAAAUAAAAACUUGAAAAUGAAAGGCCAUUAGCAUCUCAGAUACACCAAAAAUAUGGGGAGUAUAAUAGAAGGAAAGAAAACUUUGAAAAGGCAGAUUUUUCACAAAAGCAAAAUUUCUCAAAAAAAAAAACUGAUUGACAAAAAAGCCAACAUGUUGCCUGUAAGAUAAAAACCAUAAACCCUUCUGGUUGUUUAACAGAGGGAGGUCAAUCUGUUUCAUGAAACCACAUGUGGCCUUCCAGAAAGUCAAAGGGUCUGCAGGAACUAGAUUUUACAGACAAAGAAAAGAAAAGAAGAAAGAAA